rnacentral:rRNA from 1 species
ACUCAAGUGGCGGACGGGUGAGUAACACGUAAGAAUUGCCUUUAGGAGGGGGACAACAACUGGAAACGGUUGCUAAUACCCCAUAUGCUUUCGAGUAAAAUGGAUUUUUCCGCCUAAAGAGAAGCUUGCGGCUGAUUAGCUUGUUGGUGAGGUAAUGGCUCACCAAGGCGACGAUCAGUAUCUGGUUUGAGAGGACGAUCAGACACACUGGAACUGAGACACGGUCCAGACUCCUACGGGAGGCAGCAGUGGGGAAUUUUCCGCAAUGGGCGAAAGCCUGACGGAGCAAUCUCGCGUGAGGGAUGACUGCCUAUGGGUUGUAAACCUCUUUUUUCAGGGAGGAAUAAAUGACGUGUACCUGAAGAAUAAGCAUCGGCUAACUCCGUGCCAGCAGCCGCGGUAAGACGGAGGAUGCAAGUGUUAUCCGGAAUCACUGGGCGUAAAGCGUCUGUAGGUGGUUUAAUAAGUCAACUGUUAAAUCUUGAAGCUCAACUUCAAAAUCGCAGUCGAAACUAUUAGACUAGAGUAUAGUAGGGGUACAGGGAAUUUCCAGUGGAGCGGUGAAAUGCGUAGAGAUUGGAAAGAACACCGAUGGCGAAAGCACUU